UACAGAGGUCUCAAGCGUUGUUCGGAUUCAUUGGGCGUAAAGGGUGCGUAGGCGGCGCGGUAAGUCGGGUGUGAAAUCUCGGAGCUUAACUCCGAAACUGCAUUCGAUACUGCCGUGCUUGAGGACUGGAGAGGAGACUGGAAUUCAUGGUGUAGCAGUGAAAUGCGUAGAGAUCAUGAGGAAGACCAGUGGCGAAGGCGGGUCUCUGGGCCUUACCUGACGCUGAGGAGCGAAAGCGUGGGUAGCGAACAGG
rnacentral:rRNA from 1 species